rnacentral:misc_RNA from 1 species
GUAGCACACCCGGACCUCCAGUCGAGCUCUAUUUUCAUAACUGAUGACUAUGCCGGAAAGAUUGCGGACUUGAGUAUUUGGAAGGAGGUAGUUGCCAAAGGAAAAAUAUCUGGGGAUGACGAAAUAGAUCUUUCUCAGUUCCCUUGUGCCUCUCCUGAAAAUGAUGUAUACAACUUCGGUAUAUUGCUGUUAGAAAUUAUAUCUGGAAAAGUUCCAUAUCCCGAUGAACAAGGCUCAAUUCUAAGUUGGGCUAUGGAAUACUUGAACGAUAAAAGCAGAUUCGGUUCAUUGACUGAUCCUUCGCUAAAGCUUGUCAACGACAACGAACUGGAGGCUGUAUGUGAUGUCAUUCGAGAUUGUAUUAAUCAGGAUCCACAUAGGAGGCCACCGAUGAAGGAUGUCACUACGAGAUUGAGGGAAGUAAUAGCUAUUUCCCCUGAAGCAGCGACUCCACGGCUCUCUCCACUAUGGUGGGCGGAACUCGAGAUCCUUUCAGUCGAAGCAAGUUAAGGAAAUCGCUAUCGUCACCCCUUCCCUCCCUUUAUUGUAGAAUGUGUGCAGCAUGCAUGUAUAAUCUUGUUGUUCCUUGUGUGACUCCACUGUGUUUGCCUUUUCGCUUGUAUACUUACCUAUCUGACAGAUUCGGCAUGUUUUUACCUUGAGACCGUCGCAGUAAAAAUGC